rnacentral:rRNA from 1 species
GAUGAACGCUAGCGGCAGGCUUAACACAUGCAAGUCGAGGGUAUAGUAGCAAUACUAGAGACCGGCGCACGGGUGCGUAACGCGUAUGCAAUCUACCUUUUGCAGGGGAAUAGCCCAGAGAAAUUUGGAUUAAUGCCCCAUAGUAUAAUGACUCGGCAUCGAGAUAUUAUUAAAGUCACAACGGCAAAAGAUGAGCAUGCGUCCAUUAGCUAGUUGGUAAGGUAACGGCUUACCAAGGCGACGAUGGUAGGGUCCUGAGAGGGAGAUCCCCACACUGGUACUGAGACACGGACCAGACUCCUACGGGAGGCAGCAGUAAGAAUAUUGGUCCAAAUGGACGCAAGUCUGAACCAGCCAUGCCGCGUGAAGGAUUAAGGU